rnacentral:rRNA from 1 species
AGAACGAACGCUGGCGGCAUGCCUAACACAUGCAAGUCGAACGAGACCUUCGGGUCUAGUGGCGCACGGGUGCGUAACGCGUGGGAAUCUGCCCUUGGGUACGGAAUAACAGCGAGAAAUUGCUGCUAAUACCGUAUAAUGACUUCGGUCCAAAGAUUUAUCGCCCAGGGAUGAGCCCGCGUAGGAUUAGCUUGUUGGUGAGGUAAAAGCUCACCAAGGCGACGAUCCUUAGCUGGUCUGAGAGGAUGAUCAGCCACACUGGGACUGAGACACGGCCCAGACUCCUACGGGAGGCAGCAGUGGGGGAAUAUUGGACAAUGGGCGAAAGCCUGAUCCAGCAAUGCCGCGUGAGUGAUGAAGCCUUAGGUUGUAAAGCUCUUUUACCGGGAUGAAUAAUGACAGUACCGGAGAAUAAAGCUCCGGCUAAACGUCCGUGACCCAGCGAGCCGGC